rnacentral:rRNA from 1 species
UACGUAGGGAGCAAGCGUUGUUCGGAGUUACUGGGCGUAAAGGGCGUGUAGGCGGCUUUUUAAGUUUGGUGUGAAAUCUCCCGGCUCAACUGGGAGGGUGCGCCGAAUACUGAAAGACUAGAGUGCGGGAGAGGAAAGUGGAAUUCCUGGUGUAGCGGUGAAAUGCGUAGAUAUCAGGAGGAACACCGGUGGUGUAGACGGCUUUCUGGACCGUAACUGACGCUGAGACACGAAAGCGUGGGUAGCAAACAGG